AGUAACCUGCCCUUGACUCUGGGAUAAGCGCUGGAAACGGCGUCUAAUACCGGAUACGACCUGCCCCGGCAUCGGGUGCGGGUGGAAAGUUUUUCGGUCAAGGAUGGACUCGCGGCCUAUCAGGUAGUUGGUGAGGUAAUGGCUCACCAAGCCGACGACGGGUAGCCGGCCUGAGAGGGUGACCGGCCACACUGGGACUGAGACACGGCCCAGACUCCUACGGGAGGCAGCAGUGGGGAAUAUUGCACAAUGGGCGAAAGCCUGAUGCAGCAACGCCGCGUGGGGGAUGACGGCCUUCGGGUUGUAAACCUCUUUUAGUAGGGAAGAAGGGCUUCGGCUUGACGGUACCUGCAGAAAAAGCACCGGCUAACUACGUGCCAGCAGCCGCGGUAAUACGUAGGGUGCAAGCGUUGUCCGGAAUUAUUGGGCGUAAAGAGCUCGUAGGCGGUUUGUCGCGUCUGCUGUGAAAACCCGAGGCUCAACCUCGGGCCUGCAGUGGGUACGGGCAGACUAGAGUGCGGUAGGGGAGAAUGGAAUUCCUGGUGUAGCGGUGGAAUGCGCAGAUAUCAGGAGGAACACCGAUGGCGAAGGCAGUUCUCUGGGCCGUUACUGACGCUGAGGAGCGAAAGCGUGGGGAGCGAACAGGAUUAGAUACCCUGGUAGUCCACGCCGUAAACGUUGGGAACUAGAUGUGGGGACCUUUCCACGGUCUCCGUGUCGCAGCUAACGCAUUAAGUUCCCCGCCUGGGGAGUACGGCCGCAAGGCUAAAACUCAAAGGAAUUGACGGGGGCCCGCACAAGCGGCGGAGCAUGCGGAUUAAUUCGAUGCAACGCGAAGAACCUUACCAAGGCUUGACAUAUACCGGAAACUUCCAGAAAUGGUUGCCCCGCAAGGUCGGUAUACAGGUGGUGCAUGGUUGUCGUCAGCUCGUGUCGUGAGAUGUUGGGUUAAGUCCCGCAACGAGCGCAACCCUCGUUCUAUGUUGCCAGCACGUCAUGGUGGGAACUCAUAGGAGACUGCCGGGGUCAACUCGGAGGAAGGUGGGGAUGACGUCAAAUCAUCAUGCCCCUUAUGUCUUGGGCUUCACGCAUGCUACAAUGGCCGGUACAAAGGGCUGCGAUACCGUAAGGUGGAGCGAAUCCCAAAAAGCCGGUCUCAGUUCGGAUUGAGGUCUGCAACUCGACCUCAUGAAGUCGGAGUCGCUAGUAAUCGCAGAUCAGCAACGCUGCGGUGAAUACGUUCCCGGGCCUUGUACACACCGCCCGUCAAGUCAUGAAAGUCGGUAACACCCGAAGCCA
rnacentral:rRNA from 1 species